rnacentral:rRNA from 1 species
UUGCUGGUGGAUUAGUGGCGAACGGGUGAGUAACACGUGAGUAACCUGCCCUUGACUCUGGGAUAAGCCUGGGAAACUGGGUCUAAUACCGGAUAUGACCUUCCAUCGCAUGGUGGUUGGUGGAAAGCUUUUGUGGUUUUGGAUGGACUCGCGGCCUAUCAGCUUGUUGGUGGGGUAAUGGCCUACCAAGGCGACGACGGGUAGCCGGCCUGAGAGGGUGACCGGCCACACUGGGACUGAGACACGGCCCAGACUCCUACGGGAGGCAGCAGUGGGGAAUAUUGCACAAUGGGCGCAAGCCUGAUGCAGCGACGCCGCGUGAGGGAUGACGGCCUUCGGGUUGUAAACCUCUUUCAGUAGGGAAGAAGCCGUGAGGUGACGGUACCUGCAGAAGAAGCGCCGGCUAACUACGUGCCAGCAGCCGCGGUAAUACGUAGGGCGCAAGCGUUAUCCGGAAUUAUUGGGCGUAAAGAGCUCGUAGGCGGUUUGUCGCGUCUGCCGUGAAAGUCCGGGGCUCAACUCCGGAUCUGCGGUGGGUACGGGCAGACUAGAGUGAUGUAGGGGAGACUGGAAUUCCUGGUGUAGCGGUGAAAUGCGCAGAUAUCAGGAGGAACACCGAUGGCGAAGGCAGGUCUCUGGGCAUUAACUGACGCUGAGGAGCGAAAGCAUGGGGAGCGAACAGGAUUAGAUACCCUGGUAGUCCAUGCCGUAAACGUUGGGCACUAGGUGUGGGGGACAUUCCACGUUUUCCGCGCCGUAGCUAACGCAUUAAGUGCCCCGCCUGGGGAGUACGGCCGCAAGGCUAAAACUCAAAGGAAUUGACGGGGGCCCGCACAAGCGGCGGAGCAUGCGGAUUAAUUCGAUGCAACGCGAAGAACCUUACCAAGGCUUGACAUGAACCAGACCGGACUGGAAACAGUUCUUCCACUUGUGGCUGGUUUACAGGUGGUGCAUGGUUGUCGUCAGCUCGUGUCGUGAGAUGUUGGGUUAAGUCCCGCAACGAGCGCAACCCUCGUUCCAUGUUGCCAGCGCGUUAUGGCGGGGACUCAUGGGAGACUGCCGGGGUCAACUCGGAGGAAGGUGGGGACGACGUCAAAUCAUCAUGCCCCUUAUGUCUUGGGCUUCACGCAUGCUACAAUGGCCGGUACAAAGGGUUGCGAUACUGUGAGGUGGAGCUAAUCCCAAAAAGCCGGUCUCAGUUCGGAUUGGGGUCUGCAACUCGACCCCAUGAAGUCGGAGUCGCUAGUAAUCGCAGAUCAGCAACGCUGCGGUGAAUACGUUCCCGGGCCUUGUACACACCGCCCGUCAAGUCACGAAAGUUGGUAACACCCGAAGCCG